rnacentral:rRNA from 1 species
GAUGAACGCUGGCGGCGUGCCUAAUACAUGCAAGUCGAGCGAACGGACGAGAAGCUUGCUUCUCUGAUGUUAGCGGCGGACGGGUGAGUAACACGUGGAUAACCUACCUAUAAGACUGGGAUAACUUCGGGAAACCGUAGCUAAUACCGGAUAAUAUUUUGAACCGCAUGGUUCAAAAGUGAAAGACGGUCUUGCUGUCACUUAUAGAUGGAUCCGUGCUGCAUUAGCUAGUUGGUAAGGUAACGGCUUACCAAGGCAACUAUGCAUAGCCGACGUGAGAGGGUGAUAGGCCACACUGGAACUGAGACAGGGUCAAGACGCCUAAGGGAGGCAGCAGAAGGGAAUCGUCCGCAAUGGGCGAAAGCAUGACGGAGCAACGCCGAGUGAGUGAUGAAGGUCUUCGGAGCGUAAAAAUCUGUUAUUAGGGAAGAACAGAUGUGUAAGUAACUGUGCACAUAGUGACGGUACCUAAUAAGAAAGCAACGGCUAACUACGUG